GUUAGAUCCCUUGACUACAGUUUUGGCAAAUGUGUUGCCUGGAUUUCAGGGCCCUUCCCCUGGAUUUCCAGCUUUGCUUCCUGCCCCUCUCGCGAGGGCUCACUCAGCGAGGCGGUGCUGCCAGGCCGGCUCUCCUACAGCUUCCAACCCUGGUACCUUCGCUGCCGCCAGCCUCCCGUGCUCCUUCCUCUCACACCCCCUCCACCCACCCAGUGCCUCUGCCUGCCUUCUGCCACUCUGCCGCUCGGAAUCUGGUUUCUGGACCCAAAGCAUCAGCAUCAGCGGGAAGCCCCUUAGAAAUGUGGACUCUCAGGCCCCACUCCGGACCUACUGGAUCAGAAUCUGCAUUUUCACAAGGUCCACGGGUGAUCUGU